AUUGAACGCUGGCGGCAGGCUUAACACAUGCAAGUCGAGCGAGCGGCGGACGGGUGAGAAAUGUCGGGGAAAGUGCCUGAGGGAGGGGGAUAACUACUGAAAACGGUCGCUAAUACCGCAUACCCUCAGAUGUGCCCAGAUGGGAUUAGAUAGUGGGUGGGGUAAUGGCUCACCUAGGCGACGAUCCCUAGCUGGUCUGAGAGGAUGACCAGCCACACUGGAACUGAGACACGGUCCAGACUCCUACGGGAGGCAGCAGUGGGGAAUAUUGCACAAUGGGCGCAAGCCUGAUGCAGCCAUGCCGCGUGUGUGAAGAAGGCCUUCGGGUUGUAAAGCACUUUCAGCGGGGAGGCGUUACUCGCAGAAGAAGCACCGGCUAACUCCGUGCCAGCAGCCGCGGUAAUUC
rnacentral:rRNA from 1 species